rnacentral:rRNA from 1 species
CGUAGGGUGCGAGCGUUGUCCGGAAUUAUUGGGCGUAAAGAGCUUGUAGGCGGUCUGUCGCGUCUGCUGUGAAAAUCCGGGGCUCAACCCCGGACUUGCAGUGGGUACGGGCAGACUAGAGUGUGGUAGGGGAGACUGGAAUUCCUGGUGUAGCGGUGAAAUGCGCAGAUAUCAGGAGGAACACCGAUGGCGAAGGCAGGUCUCUGGGCCACUACUGACGCUGAGAAGCGAAAGCAUGGGGAGCGAACAGG